rnacentral:rRNA from 1 species
AUCUGUGACCAAAUCUCCUCCGUCUAAGCCUGUUCUCAUCAGAUCUCAGAAGCUAAGCCGGGUUAGGCCUGGUUAGUACUUAGAUGGAAGACUGUUGGGAAUAUCAGAUGCCACAGUGA